rnacentral:tRNA from 1 species
GGCUUCGUAACUCAGCUGAUAAAGCGCUUGCGGCAUUGAGGUAUGCUGUGUCUGUCGCUGGUUCGAAUCCAGCCGAAGCCC